UGUUUUAUACUGAAUGCAGUUUUUCCCUCUCACGUGAUCUAAACAAACUUAUGGAAAUAUCAUCAGGACACUGAGAUUUCCUCAUCUGAUCUGAGCUCAGGACUGUGUGUUCCACUGCUCCUAGUUUUAGAUCAAAUGAAAUAAACAUCUGCUUUCUCCUGAAUCUCCUGAAAUCUUUUCCUUCAGAAUCUGUGUAAUGAAACUUGGAGAUGAAAAAGUCCAGGACAUUUCCUGUGGGAUUUGGUGAAACAUCUUCCUGUUUAUCACUCAGGCUUCUGAAGGAGACCUCAUUUACCUGCUGGAAGUUUCUACACAGGUACGACUCUGUGCUUCUCCAUUGUUCAUGUCGAACGCAUUCCAUCUCUAAAGGGUGUGGAUUCUUACAUGGAAAGAAGUUAGAAAGCGUCAUCGUCAUCGUCAUGAUCAUCAUCGUCAUCCUCGUCAUCGUCACGGGUUUUGCGCCGCCCUGCGUGUGGAUAAAAAACCGAUCGCUUCCUUCUGGUCCACCAUUUCAGGCGGAGACUCGUGAAGGUCAGAGCUUUUUCUAAAUAGACUGAAAGAAUGAAAGUAAUGUUGAUGAACAACUUGAACAUUCCUGAAAGCCGAGUUCCUGCUACUGAACAAUGCGUCAUGUUGACCAUUUACACUCCGGUGUCCUCACAUCAGUCCACCUGGAGGCUUCAUCAGAUCUUUAUGGUCCAUAAAACCAAACAAUAUGAGCAUCAGUCUGAAUUCCAGUAAUCCCAGUAUGGAGAGUUAUAGUGGUUCCUUCCACUUCCUGCAGUGUGACCAUCUCAUCUCCAGCUGCACUCAGUAAACCUGCAUCACAGCUUCAGCACAUCAGAGAGAGAAAAGUACGGAGAAUCCUGUUUCCUGCUGAAAUAUUCACACCAUUGUUAUACUCCAUAGUGCGCGUUUCUCAGAUCAACAUUUCCCCGUUUUUCCUGAACAUCAGUGACACUGAAGAAUUCCAUAAACACUGCAGAUUAGCGCCAUGAUGAAGGUUUCUGUUCUACACAAGUUUCCGAUGCCGUGAGCUUCUCGUCUUCUGUGGCUCACAUCCAGAAAACCACUGGAGCUCCGCCUGUAGCAGUGUUCAGUCUGUAAACACUCACUACAUGCCUGUGUAGAUACUCAGAUCCUGAAAUCUCACCAUUUUACUCAUCAUUUAUCAUCUCAUAAUCAUUUUACUAUUAUUUACAGUUCAGUGUAAAAGAAGUGUAUAUUUAGUGAAAAGAAGAGUGUAGAAAAAAAACCCUGGCAUUGCCAUGCGAUUAUCUGAUGUCACAUGACUCCACCUCCAACAUCCUGAACAUGUGGUUACUCCCAGUGUUCCAGCUGAACAUUGUUGUGUACAGUAUAAACACAGCAGCAUUUUUACUGUACUGUAGAUAAAUGUGUGGUAUUUCAUUCUAAUGUCCUGAUGGUCAGGAAUCACUGUCAGUAUUUAUUCUGUGGAUUCUGUUGUAGGAAGUUCAGCACUGGACUGGUCUCCUGUCUACAUUUCAGCAUAAGUUUGUACACCCUCAGGUAGACGUUACAGUACAUGCAGGUAACAUGUUUCACUUCAGUCUGUAUUUAUAAGCAGAAAUUUACAUUUAAUAAAAAGCUUUGAAUAUAAA